rnacentral:rRNA from 1 species
GUAGGUGGCAAGCGUUGUCCGGAAUUAUUGGGCGUAAAGCGCGCGCAGGCGGUCCUUUAAGUCUGAUGUGAAAGCCCACGGCUCGAACCGUGGAGGGUCAUUGGGAAACUGGGGGACUUGAGUACAGAAGAGGAAAGCGGAAUUCCACGUGUAGCGGUGAAAUGCGUAGAGAUGUGGAGGAACACCAGUGGCGAAGGCGGCUUUCUGGUCUGUAACUGACGCUGAGGCGCGAAAGCGUGGGGAGCAAACAGGGAUUAGAUACCCUGGUAGUCCACGCCGUAAACGAUGAGUGCUAAGUGUUAGGGGGUUUCCGCCCCCUUAGUGCUGCAGCUAACGCAUUAAGCACUCCGCCUGGGGAGUACGGCCGCAAGGCUG